AUGGAGGUCAUUGCUGAUAUUGAUUAUAUUUUCCGGCAACAAGACAUCAAGUCACCCAGUGACUUCCUCCAAGAACUUCUCAAAGUUAUGAAUAGCUUAACAACUCCAGCUCCAACAGGGAAUAAAACAACUCAGAAACCUGUACAAACACCAAAUGUGAUUGGGAAGGUGAUUAUUUACAUUCGGCUCAUAUUUAUCACACGGGGCCCUGUACCAAGUGAUGCAAAAAUAUUACAAUUGGCAAACUCUCUGCUGGCCGCACGUUUCAGAAUUAAACGAGAACUAAGGGCACAAAGCUUAGGUACCCCUGUGAGCUUUGUGAAUGUUACUUACACAAAACUUUCUGAUACGUCAUAUUCCCUGAAUUUUGGAUUUGAAAUCAACAAUGUUACCAUGUCUCAGAAACUUGAACUCAGGGAUACAACAUAUAAAUUAAUCCAGGACUCUAUAAAUAAAUUGUUGAACGAGAUCCUAACUGAGCCCACAGCCACUCCAUUUGAGUUCAAAGAUACCAAUUUCACGGGUAAUUCCACCACUAUUCAGGCUGAUGUACAGUAUGUUUUCUCAGAAAACGACAUCCAGAAACCCAGUGCCUUUCUCUAUGCACUUAUUGUGGUUAAUAAUGAGACUAUUACCACUACAACUACACCUGCUGCAACAAGAACCACCUUUUACUCCACAGUGCUGAGCACUACAAUCACAAAUAACAGCACUAGUGCAGCAUGGGUUGUGGCCAUUAUUGUACCCUGUGCUAUUGUCAUCAUCCUCGUACCUUGCUGGAUUCUCCUUUGUUGUUUACUGUGUGGUUGCUGUACAGCAUUAAGAAGACGGUGGUCCAGAAGACGGUCAUACAAUGUACAAUACACCACUCAUAACAGCCUUUUCUAGAGAGCUCGAGACACAUCAGGAACAUUUUCUAACACUAAUGACUAAUUACUUAUAUUACUAAAUCAAAUUGUGAUUGUGGUACUUUAAAGUUUACAUUUAACUUUCCAUAAUGAUUAUGAUAUCUUACAGCUUUUAUAAUGCACUAUUUAUUUUAUUGUGCCUGUAUUGCUGGACAGACAGGAUCUUAAAUUGUGAUUAAUGUAAUUUAUUUUCAGAAUUGUUUAAUGGAUAAAAAAAUUGUAUUUACGAUUUCUGUAAGGUUUAAAAUAUUUGCAUGUUAUAAUAUUUUGGGAUUUCCAAAUAAUUAAUUUAUUUGAUAUUACACAUUUCAUUUUAAGGGGCAAUGUUGGUAAUGUUAAACUUAUUUACACUUUAUGCACUUUAGUUCCAUGUAACUCAAAGGAAAAUCCUUGUGUGCUUUACACACAGAUGUAGAUGUAAAACAGCAGCAACAUCAAUCAACAGUCAUUUUAUCUGCAUAAUUUUAGAUCUCGUUUUUAAUGAUCACUUCUGUUCUGACAAGAUUGUCCUGCAGCUGCUGACAGGAUUUUUUUUUUCUUUUUAGUAAGGCAUUACACAAACAGCUUUCUUCACCUUUUAAAUCAAAACAACAUUAAUAAAUUUAAGAACAACUGUAUAUGUAACCAAAUGAUUAUGAUCUAGCAGGAGCCUGCAUGCAUAACAAUCAAAAAUAAAACACCUACAAUGUUGAAAAAUACACAAAUUCUGUUUAUUUUGAAAGUUGUAAGUAAAUUUCACAUAUAUAUCACUUUCAUCCACUAUUUUUCCACAUAUGUCUAAAUAUAGAAUUUGUUAUAAUUAAAAGCCAUGAGCUGACACAUACACAGAACACGAGUCAUCAUCCAGUCUCUUAAAAUUACACAUAAAUGUGUAUUUAAAUAUAAUCUGACACCCAUUUUUGAGAUUUGUGUUGUUUUUGAGGGUUGGUGAGUGGGGUGAGUAGUGAGAAAAAAACAAUUGCCACUAUCAUUUAAAAUAUUUCAUUGCACCAACAACACUGAUUGCCAUUGAUACAGUUCAAUUAAAAAAAUUCAGUUAGACAAAUUGAACAAUGUCGUAGACGUAGUCUGUCACUAGAAAAUUUUGAAAAGUGAAAUUUUAAAGUGAGUGUCUCAGAUAUUUAUUAAAUCAAGGCCUUGGUGCUCAAUGUGAAAGUCUCUAUGUACAGUAUAUCCAGUUCAAACAGUGAUCAUCUACCAGUGACUUGAGCUCUCACAUCCAAUACGAAACAGAUAGCAACUUUACAUGAUGAUGAAUAUAUGUGGAAACAUCACAAAAGCAAAACAAAUUUAUGAUAUCCAUAUUAUGACACUGGUGGUGAUGACAUAUGCAUGAUUUCCUAUCAUAAUUUAAAAAUAAUAUUCUUUAAGUAGCUGCUCACCUCUGUCCAAGAAGAGCGUGUCAUCAGAACAAUGCUUGAAAGUUUAUCCACUGUAUUAUAUAAUCAAUUAGUAUUAUAAUGAAUACAAGAUUAAGAAAACAUUUUCCUCCGUAGCCAUGUAAAGUAGCUCAUAAUUAACAGAAACACUGGCUAUACAAGAAAUUAAGAAUGACAAUACUCACACCAGCUUAUGUACAUUUUAAUACGCCACAGAUAGAUUUGUAGAGGUUUAUUUCAGCCAUUGUUGUCAAAACACUGCAGUACUGUUGUCACCAAAUGACAACAACUAAUCAGACCAAUCAAAUAAAAAAAGACCUACACAAAUAGAAUAAAAAUGC
rnacentral:lncRNA from 1 species